rfam:Pelobacter propionicus DSM 2379, complete genome.
CGGGAUGUAGCGCAGCCUGGUAGCGCACCUGCUUCGGGAGCAGGGGGUCGCUAGUUCGAAUCUAGUCAUCCCGA